GACGAACGCUGGCGGGGUGCUUAACACAUGCAAGUCGAACGGAAAGGCCCUGCUUGCAGGGUACUCGAGUGGCGAACGGGUGAGUAACACGUGGGUGAUCUGCCCUGCACUUCGGGAUAAGCCUGGGAAACUGGGUCUAAUACCGGAUAGGAGCCAUUUUUAGUGUGAUGGUUGGAAAGUUUUUUCGGUGUAGGAUGAGCUCGCGGCCUAUCAGCUUGUUGGUGGGGUAAUGGCCUACCAAGGCGGCGACGGGUAGCCGGCCUGAGAGGGUGGACGGCCACAUUGGGACUGAGAUACGGCCCAGACUCCUACGGGAGGCAGCAGUGGGGAAUAUUGCACAAUGGGCGCAAGCCUGAUGCAGCGACGCCGCGUGGGGGAUGACGGCCUUCGGGUUGUAAACUCCUUUCGCUAGGGACGAAGCUUUUUGUGACGGUACCUAGAUAAGAAGCACCGGCUAACUACGUG
rnacentral:rRNA from 1 species